GAUGAACGCUGGCGGCGUGCCUAAUACAUGCAAGUCGAGCGAACAGAUGAGGAGCUUGCUCCUCUGACGUUAGCGGCGGACGGGUGAGUAACACGUGGAUAACCUACCUAUAAGACUGGGAUAACUUCGGGAAACCGGAGCUAAUACCGGAUAAUAUAUUGAACCGCAUGGUUCAAUAGUGAAAGACGGUUUUGCUGUCACUUAUAGAUGGAUCCGCGCCGCAUUAGCUAGUUGGUAAGGUAACGGCUUACCAAGGCAACGAUGCGUAGCCGACCUGAGACGGUGAUCGGCCACACUGGAACUGAGACACGGUCCAGACUCCUACGGGAGGCAGCAGUAGGGAAUCUUCCGCAAUGGGCGAAAGCCUGACGGAGCAACGCCGCGUGAGUGAUGAAGGUCUUCGGAUCGUAAAACUCUGUUAUUAGGGAAGAACAAAUGUGUAAGUAACUAUGCACGUCUUGACGGUACCUAAUCAGAAAGCCACGGCUAACUACGUG
rnacentral:rRNA from 1 species